GUCACUUUGCCGGAGUGGUUAACGGGAUCGCCUGCUAUCCGUAGCAUCUUAGCGGUUGUGCUUUGCACGCGAGUGUUCGAAUCGCUCAGGUGACG
rnacentral:tRNA from 1 species